rnacentral:rRNA from 1 species
CACGUAGGGGGCGAGCGUUAUCCGGAAUGAUUGGGCGUAAAGCGUCCGCAGGUGGCUAUGUAAGUCUGCUGUUAAAGAGUGAGGCUCAACCUCAUAAGAGCAGUGGAAACUACAUGGCUAGAGUGCGUUCGGGGCAGAGGGAAUUCCUGGUGUAGCGGUGAAAUGCGUAGAGAUCAGGAAGAACACCGGUGGCGAAAGCGCUCUGCUAGGCCGCAACUGACACUCAUGGACGAAAGCUAGGGGAGCGAAUGGG